UACGUAGGGUGCGAGCGUUGUCCGGAAUUAUUGGGCGUAAAGAGCUCGUAGGCGGUGUGUCACGUCGGCCGUGAAAACCUGCAGCUUAACUGUGGGCGUGCGGUCGAUACGGGCAUCACUGGAGUUCGGCAGGGGAGACUGGAAUUCCUGGUGUAGCGGUGAAAUGCGCAGAUAUCAGGAGGAACACCGGUGGCGAAGGCGGGUCUCUGGGCAACACUGACGCUGAGGAGCGAAAGCGUGGGGAGCGAACAGG
rnacentral:rRNA from 1 species